AUUGAACGCUGGCGGCAGGCUUAACACAUGCAAGUCGAGCGGGGUGAUGGUGCUUGCACUAUCACUUAGCGGCGGACGGGUGAGUAAUGCUUAGGAAUCUGCCUAUUAGUGGGGGACAACAUCUCGAAAGGGAUGCUAAUACCGCAUACGUCCUACGAGAGAAAGCAGGGGAUCACUUGUGACAUUGCGCUAACAGAUGAGCCUAAGUCGGAUUAGCUAGUUGGUGGGGUAAAGGCCUACCAAGGCGACGAUCUGUAGCGGGUCUGAGAGGAUGAUCCGCCACACUGGGACUGAGACACGGCCCAGACUCCUACGGGAGGCAGCAGUGGGGAAUAUUGGACAAUGGGGGGAACCCUGAUCCAGCCAUGCCGCGUGUGUGAAGAAGGCCUUAUGGUUGUAAAGCACUUUAAGCGAGGAGGAGGCUCUUUUGGUUAAUACCCAAGAUGAGUGGACGUUACUCGCAGAAUAAGCACCGGCUAACUCUGUGCCAGCCGCCGCCGUAA
rnacentral:rRNA from 1 species